rnacentral:rRNA from 1 species
CCUUGGCCUUGACAUACUAAGAACUUUUCCAGAGAUGGAUUGGUGCCUUUCGGGAACUUUAGAUACAGGUGCUGCAUGGCUGUCGUCAGCUCGUGUCGUGAGAUGUUGGGUUAAGUCCCGCAACGAGCGCAACCCUUUUCCUUAUUUGCCAGCGGGUCAUGCCGGGAACUUUAAGGAUACUGCCAGUGACAAACUGGAGGAAGGCGGGGACGACGUCAAGUCAUCAUGGCCCUUACGGCCAGGGCUACACACGUGCUACAAUGGUCGGUACAAAGGGUUGCUACCUCGCGAGAGGAUGCUAAUCUCAAAAAGCCGGUCGUAGUCCGGAUCGCAGUCUGCAACUCGACUGCGUGAAGUCGGAAUCGCUAGUAAUCGCGGAUCAGAAUGCCGCGGUGAAUACGUUCCCGGGCCUUGUACACACCGCCCGUCACACCAUGGGAGUUUGUUGCACCAGAAGUAGGUAGUCUAACCGCAAGGAGGACGCUUACCACGGUGUGGCCGAUGACUGGGGUGAAGUCGUAACAAGGUAGGCGUAGAUGA